UGAUUAAAACCAGCUUCUUCACUUUUGGAGCGUGACAAACUAGUCCCACAGACGCACGAGUGCUGGUGUAGAUGUUUAAAAAAUCAGCUCGGUUGCAUACAGCUCGAUAUUGCAUUCAGCAUGUCAACAUCACCACGUCAUUAUCUACAUCGUAAAGCUGAAUACGCAUAUUGUCCCUGUCCCGCCUGGCUGGCACGCCUUCUGUCAUGUCCACCGGCGCCGUUCACAACAGGUAAAAUCGCGUCUCUAUAUGAACACUGCAACUCGAAGUUUUGUUAUCUUUCCAUUUUUCUGCCAUCAACAUGGUUAAAACAGUGUUAAAACCCCCGUUUUUCAACGAAGGAUUGAGCCAAGAGCACUUUUCUCCAUGGUCAGUGAAUAAGGAAUAAUGGCGGGUAAGUAGGCGAGAAGAUAAAACCCCUCCAAAAAUCGAGCUUCGUAUGGGCAAUUAGUAUGACACAUUGCCUCGUUGAGUUACUAGACCGUCUCAUAGGAGGUACAAAUAAAAAAGUCGCGCCAAGACACGCCGACCCAAAUACCUUCGUAUACACUCCCGUGACUGCCCCGGGGUUUUUUGUUUCGAAAAGUGGUCUUUUUGUUGGUAUUUUCGGAGCCAGAAAAAUACGCCUCGGCGUGAUGACUCCCCCGAUAUGGGACUUUUAUUGAGUCAUAGACCAACAUUUGGUAUUUCUCCGUCCGCUUCGGGGGCGCUUUUCGUUGAAAAGCAUGCGUCGCUCAGCGCGCCAAUUGGCGACGGCGCGGUACUCCGACGAGGAGACCUUCACCCGAUCAAAGCCGCGCGCCGUAGGCAAGAUAUCGUAGGUAAGCCCGAACCCCAAUCACACGCGCGAAACGCGAGGCCCGAUGCGCGUGAGAUGGUGCCCCGUUUCGCGACGUGUCGACGGAUGGAGCCCAUCUUAGAUUUUGUUUUUCGUCCCCGGGACGCGCCGGUCGGGGCACCAUCUCACGCGCAUCGGGCCGCGCGCUUCGCGCGUGUGAGUG
rnacentral:lncRNA from 1 species